rnacentral:tRNA from 1 species
CUUAUCUUAGUUUAAUUAGAAUGGGGGUUUUGGGGAUCUUUGGUUUCGUUUAUAACGAGAGAUUUGG